AAAUAUAUAAAAUACAAACCCUAAACCCCUAUAUUAAACCCAACACAAAACCCCCCAAACCCCCAAAUCAGUAUUCUUCUUUCUCCAACCCCCAAACCCUCCAACGGCAGUCUACCGCGAACUUAAAGAUCCGACGAGAACUUGAAGAUCCGACGACGAAAUCAGUUUACCGGUGACCGGAACUCAACUAAAUCAGGUUAGUCUUCCGUGUUUUCCGUAAAUCACCAGACUGUGCUGGGUUUCUUCUUUUACUCGAUCCACCAGCCGUCCUAUUGAUUAAAAUCUCUUUCUUCUUGAACUAUGGUCUUCAGAGACCUCUUCAUAUUAAAAUCGUCCUAUUGAUUUUACUCGAUCCGCAAGCCCUCGAUAUCCCAGCUGUUUGUAUUAUAAAAUUUACUGUAGCCAGAGUUACGUGUUCAAUUGAUUCUAUCUAAAUUCAUUCGUGGUUUUAUAUCUGAACAAGCAAUCUUUUUUCAGUUUUUUGAGUUUAUUUUCUUUUUCUUUGAUUGUUUGUUUUUGCAUUUGUUUGGGACCUUCUGGUAUUUUGCCUGGCUCCUUCCUUGUACAGUUAGUUAUAUCUGUACAUUAUUAUAUUUAGAAUGUACUUUAGAGUGGCAUUCUGUUCUUAUAAGUGUUUCAAGGUUUUGAAAUAGUUGGGAAUUCCAUUGGUGAGUGAUCUUAAUAUCUUAUUAUUAGAGACAUUCAUUAUUAGUUCUCUUGAGAAGAUUUUAGCUUGUUGGAAGGAUUGUCUACAGGGACUGAGAGGAAGUCUCCAGAAAGGAACAAAACAGACAAAUCAAGUUGUUUUUCUGUAUUAUGCUACAAAUUCGAUUCUAGGCAACACUUUUAAGUUAUAAAAGACAGUUCAAAUUUCAUCAAAUAAGAAAAAUUGAUGACAAGAUUAAUAUGUUCGUCCCUUCCAGAUUACACCUUUCGACCACUCUUGUGAAUCAAAUAUCAAGUAGCUGAUUUCAUCGAUUACACUCUUAAUUUCGGAGUUUGGAAUUUACCUGCCAAUAAAACUUUGGCCUUUUGUAAUGGUAGCCAGGUAUAUCAAACAUUAAGCAUAGGAAUUCAUAAUACAAUACCAAUCUAACUGACUACUGUAUAGAUAGAUUGGCGGAUAGAUAAGAUCUGAUUUUAAAAUAAAAUGACAUCUGAAAUAUCAUUCCAG
rnacentral:lncRNA from 1 species